GUCCUUAAGAAUUUAUUUAAGGUUUAACCUGCCCACUGAAUUAUUUUAAAUGGCCGCAGUAUCUUGACUGUGCAAAGGUAGCAUAAUCAUUAGUUUUUUAAUUGAAAGCUUGUAUGAAUGGUUGGACGAGAUAAAAACUGUCUUUAUUUGAUAUUUAGAAUUUAAUUUUUAAGUUAAAAAGCUUAAAUUUUAUUAAAAGACGAGAAGACCCUAUAGAUCUUUAUAAAUUAUUAAUAAUUUUAUUUAGGAAUUUUUAAUAAAUUAAUUAAGAAAUUUAUUUUAUUGGGGUAAUAGGAAGAUAUAGUAAAUUCUUUUUUUUAUUUAAUUAAAUAUAGUUAUUUUAAUGAUCCAAUAUUAUUGAUUAUAAGAUUAAGUUACCUUAGGGAUAACAGCGUAAUUUUUUUUGAGAGUUCAUAUCGAUAAAAAAGUUUGCGACCUCGAUGUUGGAUUAAAAGUAAUCUUAGGAGCAGAAAUUUAAGAUUUUGGUCUGUUCGACCAUUAAAUUUUUACA
rnacentral:rRNA from 1 species